rnacentral:tRNA from 1 species
GCGGGAAUAGCUCAGUUGGUAGAGCGCCACCUUGCCAAGGUGGAGGUCGCGGGAUCGAAUCCCGUUUCCCGCUCCA